AGUUAAGCCUUCCACACAUUUGUUUUUUGAUGUUGAUCCAAAAGAACGCAAAAAAAAACCCUCUUUGAAGUAAUUCCAAUUUUGCAACAAACUAGGAAAAAAUUAAAUCUUGACCCCAAAAUGGCAGUCAGAUUUAUCCUUGGAUCAAGAAGCUAUUAUCCUACAGUUGAAAAAUUAUAUCAUUGAAUAUUAUGUUUGCAAGUAUGCAUCUAGUUACAGUUUAAACAUCUGUACAGACUCUAAUAAAACUACUUCUCCUGGCAGAGAAUUCCAUAUGCUUAUUCUUCUUAUGGUAAAAAAAAACUUUUCUUUGUCUUAGACUAAAUCUUUUUUCUUCCAG